rnacentral:tRNA from 1 species
AGUGUUGUACUUUAAUUUAAAAGUUUUGAUUUGCAAUCAAAUAAUAGAGAUUUCUCUCAACACUA